UGCGGGGAAUCCCGGGUGAGGGGAGCUGGCAUUUUCAGCAAUCCUUACCAAGCCACGUGGCCAUGGUGGGUAGAGAAAAUCAUGUAUAUGUGCUAAGGGGUGACUUGAUUGCCAGAGGGAGUAGCUGGGGUACCCUUCACCUGGGCUUGCAGGGACCUAGACCCGCAUGCCUCUAGGGCAGGUCUGGCCCGCAUGCCUCUAGGGCAGGCCUGCACAACAUAAGGCCUGGGGCCCAGCUCUGGCUCACGGGGACUUUUUUUGCUGGCCCCAGGGGUGGCCCAAAGUAUUGUGGUGUCUGUGUGCAAAAUGCCACAUUGCUCCAUGGACUUGAUGGGGGUCAGCCCCCUUUCAGAACUGACCUUUGCAAGCAUUGAAAGUGCAUGGGCGACAGGGAAGAGGAAAGAUUGCUGGAAGCCUCCUCUUACCUUUGCAUGCUGGCCUUCUUCAGAACAGGAGAAGCACAAGAUGCAGGAUGCUAUUAAACAACAGUUUAUAUACCAACACCAUGAAGGAUACAGAGCCAUAACUUGGAGUAAUCAGACAUACCUAUGAGAACCACUGGACCUGUCAGAACAAUGAUAAACAUCUUGAAACAACUCUUUGCAGAAGAUAUCGUGAUUAUAGUCUUAGACUGAGCACUUGCAAAGAGGCUGGCAGCUGUCGGGUCUGGUUUAGGAAGAGCCACAUUACGCUGAUGCUCAGAGGAAGAGUCUGUGAGAUGGCAGCUAUUUAUCUGCCAUUUAGGCAAGAGACUCACAGUGAUGAUUGGCACGAUUCGGAUCGGAUUCAGAAUUGAGAAGUGACUCAUUAUUGGAAAAAAGAAAAUAGGCCACCUCAGGAGAAGGCAUUGCUAUUGAAUAGAAAGAAAAUCUGUUUUCUGUCUGCUACCUUCUCUCGCUGUAUGGGAGGCAGAGGAUGUUCAGAGAAAUGGUUCCAUUUUUAAUCACAAGCUCAGGCUCCUUCAGAGAGUCACUGCACUCACAGACCUCCGAUGGCUCCUUCGAACAGAACUUUCAGGACUGCUGGUCAAGAGGCCAGAGAAGGGCUUUGCGGUUGUCUCUUUGCUGACAGGAGAGGCCUUUGCCGAAAGGAAACUGGCAGCCACAGCCUCUUCCAGGACCCAUCUUUUGGUGUAGUCAUUGUCCUCUUCAUCGAACAUCCAUUCUCCAAGUGUAUCCUGAUCUGGAGAGCAGGAUUCCUGAUGACCAUUGUUCCUAGAAAGCAAGACUCCUGCUGUGGGAAAACCAGCCAUUGGCACACCUGUGUUUGCAAUGGGUUGGUCAGACUCAUCGUCGUGGACUGCUGCAUCUAUGGAUGUGGGUUGUUCCCUCAAUUUCCAUUUCUGGAUCUCCUUGUCUCGUUGUUCCUUAGGGAGCUGAUCAAUUUGUUGGGCUUUCUGAAUGAGAGAUACCUGGAAGGUUCCUUGCAGAGCCAAGAUAAGAUACCUUAGGAAAGGGGGAAAAUUAAAUAAUGAUAUGACAAAGAUAAGCCUUCAGUCUUUCUGCUUCAGUUAUGCUGCAGAUGCCUAAUGAGGAGGUAUAAUACUUGCAGUUGCUUUCAGUUAAGCAUUUAUACACACAAUCUGUCUGUUAAACAGCUCCUCUCCUAUGUAUAAUAUUUAUAGAGCAAUUUGGGCCUUAGAAUAUUUGAAGGACCUGCUGGAAACAGGGGAGAGAUGUUGGGGCUGUUGGAGGCCCUUCACUCAUGCGCCUGUCUGGUGGGUGGGGAAGCAGAAGAAGAAAGAACAGCUGAGGGAGGGUGACCCCUCACGGCAGCCUGGAUGAUGGACGCAAAGCAUGCAGAAGUUGAAGCAGGGCACGCAUGUGGAUGGAGCCGCUGGCAUGUAUCUUGUGAAGGGAGAAAGUUACAACAGGAGCAAGGAUACUGUAGGGCUGCCCUGUGAUCACCACUAAUCAGCCCAGCACUGCACAUCCAAUGAGAGAAGGCAAGGGAGCAAAGCCCAGGAGAAUACACUGUUGCUCCUUCACUUGUAACCUGUGGUACAGAUCAUGGAAACCAUGUGGAGAAAGCUUGUUAGUGACUGAUUCUACCCAUAGGCUAAGGGCCCCCCCACCCAUGUAAUGAGCAGCAGGGAAUGGCUCAGCUCUUAGCACUAGUAUGAUAAUACCUUUAUUAGGACCAACCAAAGUGAUGAGCAGCAAUUUUUGAGUUCUCCAGAACGUGUGUGUGUUUUAGCACUGUAUCUCAAAGUUAGAAAUAAAAAAACAACCAAAGCUUGGGGGUUAAGCAGAAACUGGCAACACUUAGCCUUCUCUAAGCUACACCUCUGAGCCAUAUUUUGCAAAUUGUCUGAUGGUACUAACAGUCUUAUGAACUCAUUUUCAGCACAGAUUGACCCAGCUUGUGAGCAGAGACAAAGCCUCUUUGAAACAUAAUGCCAUUUGCUAACAUGCAUGCGGCUAGCUGAUCUGUGUAAAAAUCAGUUCAGAGGAUUGUUACCAGAAUCUGUGCUUAUUUAGGUUUUAAACUCCUUGUGGGAGAGAAUUUCAUGUUCUUCAUUUUUAGGGCUUCAAGCCUAAUGGAGCCCCGUCUCAGUUUGCUUGACAGUCUGAGCUGUAAAAAUAACUAGAUCCAGACAUUUGGGGUGGGGGCCACCCCCCACCCCCCCCAGUGAGGGAAGCAUCACAGUGAGAGGAGGUCAGGACACGGAGCCUGACCGAAUCAGGACCUGGUCCUUCGCCCUGGUGUGGGAUGGCCCUCACUAGGAGGGGCCACCACACGGGAGGAGUACCCAGACUCUGAUUAGUUAGGGACC